rnacentral:rRNA from 1 species
GUUUGAUCCUGGCUCAGAUUGAACGCUGGCGGCAUGCCUUACACAUGCAAGUCGAACGGUAACGCGGGGGCAACCCUGGCGACGAGUGGCGAACGGGUGAGUAAUACAUCGGAACAUAUCCAGUAGCGGGGGAUAACCUAUCGAAAGAUGGACUAAUACCGCAUACGAUCUACGGAUGAAAGCAGGGGACCGCAAGGCCUUGCACUAUUGGAGUGGCCGAUGUCGGAUUAGCUAGUUGGUGAGGUAAAGGCUUACCAAGGCGACGAUCCGUAGCUGGUCUGAGAGGACGAUCAGCCACACUGGAACUGAGACACGGUCCAGACUCCUACGGGAGGCAGCAGUGGGGAAUUUUGGACAAUGGGCGCAAGCCUGAUCCAGCCAUGCCGCGUGAGUGAAGAAGGCCUUCGGGUUGUAAAGCUCUUUCGGUGAAGACGAAACGGUUAGCGCUAAUAACGCUGACUAAUGACGGUACUCACAGAAGAAGCACCGGCUAACUACGUGCCAGCAGCCGCGGUAAUACGUAGGGUGCAGGCGUUAAUCGGAAUUACUGGGCGUAAAGCGUGCGCAGGCGGUUUGCUAAGACAGGUGUGAAAUCCCCGAGCUUAACUUGGGAAUUGCGCUUGUAACUGGCAAGCUAGAGUGUGGCAGAGGGGGGUGGAAUUCCACGUGUAGCAGUGAAAUGCGUAGAUAUGUGGAGGAACACCGAUGGCGAAGGCAGCCCCCUGGGUUAACACUGACGCUCAUGCACGAAAGCGUGGGGAGCAAACAGGAUUAGAUACCCUGGUAGUCCACGCCCUAAACUAUGUCAACUAGUUGUCGGGAAGAAAUUCCUUGGUAACGAAGCUAACGCGUGAAGUUGACCGCCUGGGGAGUACGGCCGCAAGGUUAAAACUCAAAGGAAUUGACGGGGACCCGCACAAGCGGUGGAUUAUGUGGAUUAAAUCGAUGCAACGCGAAAAACCUUACCUACCCUUGACAUGCUAGGAAGCCCGCAGAGAUGUGGGUGUGCCCGAAAGGGAACCUAGACACAGGUGCUGCAUGGCUGUCGUCAGCUCGUGUCGUGAGAUGUUGGGUUAAGUCCCGCAACGAGCGCAACCCUUGCCAUUAGUUGCUACAUUCAGUUGGGCACUCUAAUGGGACCGCCGGUGACAAACCGGAGGAAGGUGGGGAUGACGUCAAGUCCUCAUGGCCCUUAUGGGUAGGGCUUCACACGUAAUACAAUGGUCGGUACAGAGGGCUGCCAACCCGCAAGGGGGAGCUAAUCCCAGAAAGCCGAUCGUAGUCCGGAUUGUAGUCUGCAACUCGACUGCAUGAAGCCGGAAUCGCUAGUAAUCGCGGAUCAGCAUGUCGCGGUGAAUACGUUCCCGGGUCUUGUACACACCGCCCGUCACACCAUGGGAGUGGGUUCCACCAGAAGUAGUUAGCCUAACCGCAAGGAGGGCGAUUACCACGGUGAGAUUCAUGACUGGGGUGAAGUCGAAACAAGGUA